UACGUAUGGAGCAAGCGUUAUCCGGAUUUACUGGGUGUAAAGGGAGCGCAGGCGGUCUGGCAAGUCUGAUGUGAAAGGCCGGGGCUCAACCCCGGGACUGCAUUGGAAACUGUCUGACUGGAGUGUCGGAGAGGUAAGCGGAAUUCCUAGUGUAGCGGUGAAAUGCGUAGAUAUUAGGAGGAACACCAGUGGCGAAGGCGGCUUACUGGACGAUGACUGACGCUGAGGCUCGAAAGCGUGGGGAGCAAACAGG
rnacentral:rRNA from 1 species